rnacentral:rRNA from 1 species
CCUACGUGAGGCAGCAGUGAGGAAUAUUGGUCAAUGGGCGCGAGCCUGAACCAGCCAAGUAGCGUGAAGGAUGACUGCCCUACGGGUUGUAAACUUCUUUUAUAAAGGCAUCAAGUGAGGCACGUGUGCCUUUUUGUAUUUACUUUAUGACUAAGGAUCGGCUAACUCCGUGCCAGCAGCCGCGGUAAUACGGCGGGUCCGAGCGUUAUCCGGAUUUAUUGGGUUUAACGGUAGCGUAGAUGGGUUGUUAAGUCAGUUGUGAAAGUUUGCGGCUCAACCGUAAAAUUGCAAUUGAUACUGGCAGCCUUGAGUACAGUUGAGGUAGGCGGAAUUCGUGGUGUAGCGGUGAAAUGCUUAGAUAUCACGAAGAACUCCGAUUGCGAAGGCAGCUUACUAAACUGCCACUGACAUUGAUGCUCGAAAGUGUGGGUAUCAAACAGGAUUAGAUACCCCAGUAGUC